rnacentral:rRNA from 1 species
GUUGUGAGGUUAAGCGACUAAGCGUACACGGUGGAUGCCCUGGCAGUCAGAGGCGAUGAAGGACGUGCUAAUCUGCGAUAAGCGUCGGUAAGGUGAUAUGAACCGUUAUAACCGGCGAUUUCCGAAUGGGGAAACCCAGUGUGAUUCGUCACACUAUCAUUAACUGAAUCCAUAGGUUAAUGAGGCGAACCGGGGGAACUGAAACAUCUAAGUACCCCGAGGAAAAGAAAUCAACCGAGAUUCCCCCAGUAGCGGCGAGCGAACGGGGAGCAGCCCAGAGCCUGAAUCAGUGUGUGUGUUAGUGGAAGCGUCUGGAAAGGCGUGCGAUACAGGGUGACAGCCCCGUACACAAAAAUGCACAUACUGUGAGCUCGAUGAGUAGGGCGGGACACGUGGUAUCCUGUCUGAAUAUGGGGGGACCAUCCUCCAAGGCUAAAUACUCCUGACUGACCGAUAGUGAACCAGUACCGUGAGGGAAAGGCGAAAAGAACCCCGGCGAGGGGAGUGAAAAAGAACCUGAAACCGUGUACGUACAAGCAGUGGGAGCACGCUUAGGCGUGUGACUGCGUACCUUUUGUAUAAUGGGUCAGCGACUUAUAUUCUGUAGCAAGGUUAACCGAAUAGGGGAGCCGAAGGGAAACCGAGUCUUAACUGGGCGUUAAGUUGCAGGGUAUAGACCCGAAACCCGGUGAUCUAGCCAUGGGCAGGUUGAAGGUUGGGUAACACUAACUGGAGGACCGAACCGACUAAUGUUGAAAAAUUAGCGGAUGACUUGUGGCUGGGGGUGAAAGGCCAAUCAAACCGGGAGAUAGCUGGUUCUCCCCGAAAGCUAUUUAGGUAGCGCCUCGUGAAUUCAUCUCCGGGGGUAGAGCACUGUUUCGGCAAGGGGGUCAUCCCGACUUACCAACCCGAUGCAAACUGCGAAUACCGGAGAAUGUUAUUACGGGAGACACACGGCGGGUGCUAACGUCCGUCGUGAAGAGGGAAACAACCCAGACCGCCAGCUAAGGUCCCAAAGUCAUGGUUAAGUGGGAAACGAUGUGGGAAGGCCCAGACAGCCAGGAUGUUGGCUUAGAAGCAGCCAUCAUUUAAAGAAAGCGUAAUAGCUCACUGGUCGAGUCGGCCUGCGCGGAAGAUGUAACGGGGCUAAACCAUGCACCGAAGCUGCGGCAGCGACGCUUAUGCGUUGUUGGGUAGGGGAGCGUUCUGUAAGCCUGUGAAGGUGUGCUGUGAGGUAUGCUGGAGGUAUCAGAAGUGCGAAUGCUGACAUAAGUAACGAUAAAGCGGGUGAAAAGCCCGCUCGCCGGAAGACCAAGGGUUCCUGUCCAACGUUAAUCGGGGCAGGGUGAGUCGACCCCUAAGGCGAGGCCGAAAGGCGUAGUCGAUGGGAAACAGGUUAAUAUUCCUGUACUUGGUGUUACUGCGAAGGGGGGACGGAGAAGGCUAUGUUGGCCGGGCGACGGUUGUCCCGGUUUAAGCGUGUAGGCUGGUUUUCCAGGCAAAUCCGGAAAAUCAAGGCCGAGGCGUGAUGACGAGGCACUACGGUGCUGAAGCAACAAAUGCCCUGCUUCCAGGAAAAGCCUCUAAGCAUCAGGUAACAUCAAAUCGUACCCCAAACCGACACAGGUGGUCAGGUAGAGAAUACCAAGGCGCUUGAGAGAACUCGGGUGAAGGAACUAGGCAAAAUGGUGCCGUAACUUCGGGAGAAGGCACGCUGAUACGUAGGUGAAGCGACUUGCUCGUGGAGCUGAAAUCAGUCGAAGAUACCAGCUGGCUGCAACUGUUUAUUAAAAACACAGCACUGUGCAAACACGAAAGUGGACGUAUACGGUGUGACGCCUGCCCGGUGCCGGAAGGUUAAUUGAUGGGGUUAGCGCAAGCGAAGCUCUUGAUCGAAGCCCCGGUAAACGGCGGCCGUAACUAUAACGGUCCUAAGGUAGCGAAAUUCCUUGUCGGGUAAGUUCCGACCUG